AGCGCAGAAGAAGGAGGAGGCGUCGUGUGGAACGGCGAGGCAAGAGGGAGCGGCAGAUGGAAGACGGGCAAAGAGGAGGACACCCUGGGCAAAGGCUUCGCCCUGUUAGCGGGGCUGUAGGUAGAGGAGAGCAGUGCUGGCACGUGAGGUGCCUGGAUUGUUUUGUGCUGGGCGACCUCCCUGUAAGCAGGGCUCGGGUCUUUGCGAUUGUAAUCGGCCUUUUGCCUUGUUGCUCCUUUGGCUGCCUGGGGGGAGCGGCCCCCUGUAAUCAGGGGCACAGCUGCUCUCUCCGCACCCGGGAGGACUGUGGAGCUUGCCGGACCCCAGGGCCUCCCUGUAGUCAGGGCAGAGCCAAUUCCCCACCCCCUUAAUUUUAGCCGUCUGGCUCUUUGUCUAAACUAUUUGUCUAAACGUGAUGGGCUAUGGAAACUUAGUAUAUGACUGAUGCCUACGCUAUAAUGCCAACUAUUGCAUAAAAAGCAAUAUAAAAGCGAUAUAUAUAUAAUAUGACCUCUAUGAAUACUGUGAAAACAGAUUCUCUAAAGGAGAUGAAUGAUAAAUUCUGAUGCAUGCUGUGUUUCAGCACCCCGUAGCUGGGGUGCGUUGUCCAAUUGGGUCUCGGCAGAAGCCGUUUCGGCUUCUGGACGUCUCUGGCAUCACUGUAAUUGAUGGUGCGUGGGGUACCGCCCUGUAAGCAGGGUCAAGCGUAGCCCCGUGUCUCUCGCUGCAAGGAGCCCCCAGUAGCCAGGUGGGUCUCCGUGUCCCCCGCUUUCCAUGGGCCUGGGGCCUCUAGAAGUAGGGCCGGGUUUUCACCCUCCCUGUAAGCAGGGCCUGGGGCCCGAGCCUCGGCAUUCGGCCGUCUGGCUCCACUGGCGGGGGAAAGGUUGAGCUCUGCGGUUCCAUGGGUGUUGCGGACCCGCCUUAGCAGGCUUUGGUCCGGAGCCUUUUGCUCCGCUGGCAGCUGUGGGGUGCCUGACCCGUUAGCGGGAUGCAGGCUUGUGGGUUCCCCACUUUGGGGAGAAGGAGCCUCCCGCGGCCUCUGGGCCCAGGGCAGCCCUGUAACUCAGGGUGCUGAUGCUCUGGUUCCCUGGGCACUUGAAAUUGUCAAUGGCUCCUCGGAGCCGCCCUGUAAGCCAGGGGUCCAGGCUCUUGGGCCGUUGCUGUGUGUGCCCAGCUUUCAUUUGCCCUUGGUGCCAGCCUUGGAGCCCUGCCGCAGCGCCGCAUGAAGGUCCUCUGCGUGUACAACACGCAGCCAGCGCAGAAGAAGGAGGAGGCGUCGUGUGGAACGGCGAGGCAAGAGCGAGCGGCAGAUGGAAGACGGGCAAAGAGGAGGACACCCUGGGCAAAGGCUUCGCCCUGUUAGCGGGGCUGUAGGUAGAGGAGAGCAGUGCUGGCACGUGAGGUGCCUGGAUUGUUUUGUGCUGGGCGACCUCCCUGUAAGCAGGGCUCGGGUCUUUGCGAUUGUAAUCGGCCUUUUGCCUUGUUGCUCCUUUGGCUGCCUGGGGGGAGCGGCCCCCUGUAAUCAGGGGCACAGCUGCUCUCUCCGCACCCGGGAGGACUGUGGAGCUUGCCGGACCCCAGGGCCUCCCUGUAGUCAGGGCAGAGCCAAUUCCCCACCCCCUUAAUUUUAGCCGUCUGGCUCUUUGUCUAAACUAUUUGUCUAAACGUGAUGGGCUAUGGAAACUUAGUAUAUGACUGAUGCCUACGCUAUAAUGCCAACUAUUGCAUAAAAAGCAAUAUAAAAGCGAUAUAUAUAUAAUAUGACCUCUAUGAAUACUGUGAAAACAGAUUCUCUAAAGGAGAUGAAUGAUAAAUUCUGAUGCAUGCU